rnacentral:tRNA from 1 species
GGCUCAACCGGUCGAGCCCACGCUUGACGGCCCACCGCUCAGGUCACCGGGAGCGCUACAACCGCCUUCGCGAGGCAGGGGUUGGGGGGUUCGAGUCCCCUCGUCUCCA